rnacentral:rRNA from 1 species
UACAGAGGUCCCGAGCGUUGUUCGGAUUCAUUGGGCGUAAAGGGUGCGUAGGCGGCUUUCUAAGUCUGAUGUGAAUCCUGGGGCUCAACCCUGGAACUGCAUUGGAUACUGGGAGGCUCGAGUACUGGAGAGGAACUGGAAUUACGGUGUAGCAGUGAAUGCGUAGAGAUCGUAAGGAAGACCAGUGGCGAAGGCGAGUUUCUGGACAGGUUACUGACGCUGAGGCACGAAGGCCAGGGGAGCAAACGGG